rnacentral:rRNA from 1 species
CGGCAGGCCUAACACAUGCAAGUCGAGCGCCCCGCAAGGGGAGCGGCGGACGGGUGAGUAACACGUGGGAAUUUUCCUCAAGGUACGGAACAACUCAGGGAAACUUGGGCUAAUACCGUAUGAUGCAGAGAUGCCAAAGAUUUAUCGCCUUGGGAUAAGCCCGCGUCAGAUUAGGUAGUUGGUGGGGUAAUGGCCUACCAAGCCUGUGAUCUGUAGCUGGUCUGAGAGGACGAUCAGCCACAUUGGGACUGAGACACGGCCCAAACUCCUACGGGAGGCAGCAGUGGGGAAUCUUGCGCAAUGGACGAAAGUCUGACGCAGCCAUGCCGCGUGAAUGAUGAAGGUCUUAGGAUUGUAAAGUUCUUUAGCCUGUGACGAUGAUGACGGUAACAGGAGAAUAAGCCCCGGCUAACUUCGUG